GGGGGAUAUUGCACAAUGGAGGAAACUCUGAUGCAGCAACGCCGCGUGAGGGAAGAAGGUCUUCGGAUUGUAAACCUUUGUCCUUGGUGACGAUAAUGACGGUAGCCAAGGAGGAAGCUCCGGCUAACUACGUGCCAGCAGCCGCGGUAAUACGUAGGGAGCAAGCGUUGUCCGGAUUUACUGGGUGUAAAGGGUGCGUAGGCGGCUCUGCAAGUCAGGCGUGAAAACUAUGGGCUUAACCCAUAGACUGCGUUUGAAACUGUGGGGCUUGAGUGAAGUAGAGGUAGGCGGAAUUCCCGGUGUAGCGGUGAAAUGCGUAGAGAUCGGGAAGAACACCAGUGGCGAAGGCGGUCUGCUGGGCUCUAACUGACGCUGAGGCACGAAAGCAUGGGUAGCAAAC
rnacentral:rRNA from 1 species